UCGGCACUCUGAAGCCACAUGGU
rnacentral:miRNA from 12 species